rnacentral:tRNA from 1 species
GGGAUAUUCUGUAUAAGGUUGUACGGUUUGAUUGCAGAUCAUAAUCAUGAGGUUCAAUUCCUCAAUAUCCCU